rnacentral:rRNA from 1 species
GAUGAACGCUGGCGGCGUGCCUAAUACAUGCAAGUCGAGCGAACGGACGAGAAGCUUGCUUCUCUGAUGUUAGCGGCGGACGGGUGAGUAACACGUGGAUAACCUACCUAUAAGACUGGGAUCACUUCGGGAAACCGGAGCUAAUACCGGAUAAUAUUUUGAACCGCAUGGUUCAAAAGUGAAAGACGGUCUUGCUGUCACUUAUAGAUGGAUCCGCGCUGCAUUAGCUAGUUGGUAAGGUAACGGCUUACCAAGGCAACGAUGCAUAGCCGACCUGAGAGGGUGAUCGGCGACACUGGAACUGAGACACGGUCCAGACUCCUACGGGAGGAAGCAGUAGGGAAUCUUCCGCAAUGGGCGAAAGCCUGACGGAGCAACGCCGCGUGAGUGAUGAAGGUCUUCGGAUCGUAAAACUCUGUUAUUAGGGAAGAACAUAUGUGUAAGUAACUGUGCACAUCUUGACGGUACCUAAUCAGAAAGCCACGGCUAACUACGUG